GACGAACGCUGGCGGCGUGCUUAACACAUGCAAGUCGAACGGAAAGGCCCUGCUUUUGUGGGGUGCUCGAGUGGCGAACGGGUGAGUAACACGUGAGUAACCUGCCCUUGACUUUGGGAUAACUUCAGGAAACUGGGGCUAAUACCGGAUAGGAGCUCCUGCUGCAUGGUGGUGGUUGGAAAGUUUCGGCGGUUGGGGAUGGACUCGCGGCUUAUCAGCUUGUUGGUGGGGUAGUGGCUUACCAAGGCUUUGACGGGUAGCCGGCCUGAGAGGGUGACCGGCCACAUUGGGACUGCGGUACGGCCCAGACUCCUACGGGAGGCAGCAGUGGAGAAUAUUGCACAAUGGGCGGAAGCCUGAUGCAGCAACGCCGCGUGCGGGAUGACGGCCUUCGGGUUGUAAACCGCUUUCGCCUGUGACGAAGCGUGAGUGACGGUAAUGGGUAAAGAAGCACCGGCUAACUACGUG
rnacentral:rRNA from 1 species